UAUCUCGCUGGUGUAAUUGGCAGCACAACGGUCUCCAACACCGUUGAUCAUAGUUCGAGUCUAUGGCGAGAUGU
rnacentral:tRNA from 1 species